GACGAACGCUGGCGGCGUGCUUAACACAUGCAAGUCGAGCGGUAAGGCCUUCGGGUACACGAGCGGCGAACGGGUGAGUAACACGUGGGUGAUCUGCCUCGCACUUCGGGAUAAGCCUGGGAAACUGGGUCUAAUACCGGAUAUGACCUUCCAGUGCAUGCUGGUGGGUGGAAAGAUUUAUCGGUGCGAGAUGGGCCCGCGGCCUAUCAGCUUGUUGGUGGGGUGAUGGCCUACCAAGGCGACGACGGGUAGCCGGCCUGAGAGGGCGACCGGCCAC
rnacentral:rRNA from 1 species